GCUGGCGUAGCUCAAUUGGUAGAGCAGCUGACUUGUAAUCAGCAGGUUGCGGGUUCAAGUCCCAUCGCCAGCU
rfam:Desulfomicrobium orale DSM 12838, complete genome.